rnacentral:rRNA from 1 species
GACGACGGGUAGCCGACCUGAGAGGGUGACCGGCCACACUGGGACUGAGACACGGCCCAGACUCCUACGGGAGGCAGCAGUGGGGAAUAUUGCACAAUGGGCGAAAGCCUGAUGCAGCGACGCCGCGUGAGGGAUGACGGCCUUCGGGUUGUAAACCUCUUUCAGCAGGGACGAAGCGCAAGUGACGGUACCUGCAGAAGAAGCACCGGCUAACUACGUGCCAGCAGCCGCGGUAAUACGUAGGGUGCAAGCGUUGUCCGGAAUUACUGGGCGUAAAGAGUUCGUAGGCGGUUUGUCGCGUCGUUUGUGAAAACCAGCAGCUCAACUGCUGGCUUGCAGGCGAUACGGGCAGACUUGAGUACUGCAGGGGAGACUGGAAUUCCUGGUGUAGCGGUGAAAUGCGCAGAUAUCAGGAGGAACACCGGUGGCGAAGGCGGAUCUCUGGGCAGUAACUGACGCUGAGGAACGAAAGCGUGGGUAGCGAACAGGAUUAGAUACCCUGGUAGUCCACGCCGUAAACGGUGGGCGCUAGGUGUGGGUUCCUUCCACGGAAUCCGUGCCGUAGCUAACGCAUUAAGCGCCCCGCCUGGGGAAGUACGGGA